rnacentral:tRNA from 1 species
GGGCCUAUAGCUCAGCGGUAGAGCGGCGGAUUCCAAACCCGCGCGUCGGCGGUUCGAGUCCGCCUAGGUAUUCAA